AAAUACCUUUGAAAGAGAUUUUAUCCUGCUAAAUUUGAUAAUAUCUUCCUCUCCAAGAUUUUCUUCUACCGUUGUUCAUUGUUCUUCCAAAAGCCAUGCUUAUAUUCCAAAGCUCGAGCAGUUUAGCUGCACCAAGCUUAAUCACGCCAUCAAAGACUUGCCUCUGAUCGAGAAAUCUAAGAACGAGCUUGCAGAUUAUUGCUCUAUUAGAAGAAGAUGAUUCUUAUAGCUGUUGGAAAGCGUAUUUCGAACUCAAAGAUCUCGAAAAAGAAUUGCCAAAACAAUAAGAGAAGAAGUUGAUUCUUCAAGCAUGAGGCGUAAAAUCAUUGAUCAGAUGCUUACAAGGGAUCACAACCAUAUAGAAGAGGAAAGGAAAGGAAAACGGGGAAAGAAAGCCAUGGAAGGGUGUGGAAGGAAGAGGAAGGAAUUGUCCAAUACCAUAUGGUAGAAGAAAAGCUUGGAGAGGAAGAUACUUUUAUCAAAUCCAGGAAUUAGGAGCAUUUAUCCUGUUGAGGCUAAACAUCGGGUUAAUAUCAUUGAUUAUUGUAAUCCUUUAAAGCAUUUGUCUGUAGAAAUUUUAGCUUAUAAGCAUUUAUCAUUGAUAUGUUGAAUAUAAAUUUUAUAUUUCGAAACAAUGUGAGGUGUGUAUUUGAAACUGAGAUAAUGUAUGUUUGUUAGUUUGCAAAAAGGUAAUGCUCUUUUUUUAUUUAAU